rnacentral:rRNA from 1 species
UGCGUAGGCGGGCUAAUAAGUCAGUGGUGAAAUCUCUCGGCUCAACCGGGAAACUGCCAUUGAUACUGUUAGUCUUGAGUUCGGUUGAGGUAGGCGGAAUGUGUAAUGUAGCGGUGAAAUGCUUAGAUAUUACACAGAACACCAAUUGCGUAGGCAGCUUACUAGACCGAAACUGACGCUGAGGCACGAAAGCGUGGGGAGCGAACAGGAUUAGAUACCCUGGUAGUCC